rnacentral:lncRNA from 1 species
UUCUCUUCUGUCCAACAAUCAUUGACGUGGAUUAGUAGUAAUAAUCAAGCAUUAAAUAAUUAAAUAAGCUCAAUAAUUAAAUAAAGAAGAAGCAUAAUUUACACACUGAAUGCUUUUGGUAAUGUGACUCACUUAUCAUAUCUUAUACACCAGUUUUAAGUUUUACUAUAUAUUUGUUGCAUUCCUUCAUAAAUAUAAUUAUUAUAUUUAUUGUUUGG